CACAAACUAAAGGAGGACUUUCGACUGCAUUUUAGAAAUAUUUCAAGAAUUAUGGAUUGUGUUGGUUGUUUUAAAUGUCGUCUGUGGGGAAAGCUUCAGACUCAGGGUUUGGGCACUGCUCUGAAGAUCUUAUUUUCUGAGAAAUUGAUAGCAAAUAUGCCAGAAAGUGGACCUAGUUAUGAAUUCCAUCUAACCAGACAAGAAAUAGUAUCAUUAUUCAACGCAUUUGGAAGAAUUUCUACAAGUGUGAAAGAAUUAGAAAACUUCAGGAACUUGUUACAGAAUAUUCAUUAAAGAAAACAAGCUGAUAUGUGCCUGUUUCUGGACAAUGGAGGCGAAAGAGUGGAAUUUCAUUCAAAGGCAUAAUAGCAAUGACAGUCUUAAGCCAAACAUUUUAUAUAAAGUUGCUUUUGUAAAGGAGAAUUAUAUUGUUUUAAGUAAACACAUUUUUAAAAAUUGUGUUAAGUCUAUGUAUAAUACUACUGUGAGUAAAAGUAAUACUUUAAUAAUGUGGUACAAAUUUUAAAGUUUAAUAUUGAAUAAAAGGAGGAUUAUCAAAUUCAUAUAUGAUAAAAGUGAAUGUUCUAAGUCUCUCAAACUAGCGUUUUAUGUAAUAAUAUGUAAUAUAAAUAAAACUAUGGUAAAUGUGACAAGCAUUUAAUAGGAAAAUGCUAAGGAGGCCUCAUAAAUGACCCAUAAUUACCAACGUAGAAUUUUUCAGUACAUUUAGGGUUGCUGGAUUUAGCAAAUAAAAAUAAAGAUUGCCCAGUUAGAUUUGAAUUUCAGAUAAACAAUUAGUUUUUUAAUAUUUUACAUGGAAUAUUUGGAAAAUACUUAUACUAAAAAAUUAUUUGUUUGAAAUUCAAAUUUAACUGGGAGUCUUGUAUUUUAUCUGGCAAUCCUAAAAUACAUUGGUAUGAAACAAAUCACUUUUAGAAGUAUAUUGCUAUUUUGAUUGGGUUGUUUUUGUGUGUAGAAACGUACAAUAACAACUCAAAGGCACAGGAGAUUUCUAAACAUUGUGAAAAGUUGAAUAGAUUAUAUAUUUAUUCUCAUAAUACUUUCACUAAUACUAAAUAAAAUUUGGGGAACACUUUUUAUUUUUAUAUAAUUUCCAAUUUACAGAAAAGUUUCAAAAAUAGUACAAAGAGCUCUCUUACCCAGAUUCACUAAUUGUUCAUACGUGCUUUAUCUUUCAUGCUUUCUCUGUACACACACACACACACACAAAUUUUUCCUCAAUCAUUUGAAAGUCAGUUAUAGGCAUCAUGCCCCUUAAACCCUAAAUACUUCAGUGUGUAAUACUGAAUAAUUACU
rnacentral:lncRNA from 1 species